GUGGGGAAUAUUGGACAAUAGGCGAAAGCCUGAUCCAGCCAUGCCGCGUGUGUGAAGAAGGUCUUCGGAUUGUAAAGCACUUUAAGUUGGGAGGAAGGGCAGUAAGUUAAUACCUUGCUGUUUUGACGUUACCAACAGAAUAAGCACCGGCUAACUUCGUGCCAGCAGCCGCGGUAAUACGAAGGGUGCAAGCGUUAAUCGGAAUUACUGGGCGUAAAGCGCGCGUAGGUGGUUCAGCAAGUUGAAGGUGAAAUCCCCGGGCUCAACCUGGGAACUGCCUCCAAAACUACUGAGCUAGAGUACGGUAGAGGGUAGUGGAAUUUCCUGUGUAGCGGUGAAAUGCGUAGAUAUAGGAAGGAACACCAGUGGCGAAGGCGACUACCUGGACUGAUACUGACACUGAGGUGCGAAAGCGUGGGGAGCAAACAGGAUUAGAUACCCCGGUAGUCC
rnacentral:rRNA from 1 species